rnacentral:rRNA from 1 species
UACGGAGGGUGCGAGCGUUGUCCGGAAUCAUUGGGCGUAAAGGGCGCGUAGGUGGCGGGACAAGCGUGCGGUGAAAGCUCGGGGCUCAACCCCGAGUCGGCCGUGCGAACUGUUUUGCUUGAGCACUGUAGAGGCAGGCGGAAUUCCGGGUGUAGCGGUGGAAUGCGUAGAGAUCCGGAAGAACACCGGUGGCGAAGGCGGCCUGCUGGGCCGAAAUUGACGCUGAGGAGCGAAAGCGUGGGGAGCAAACAGG